rnacentral:lncRNA from 1 species
CCAUUCACACAUUUUUGUAAGAGCCACACCAUAAUUCAAUCACAUUUAAAUUUCUCGCUCUGAUUACGCUACUAUAGAACAAAGGGGACAACUCAUAGGGAUAAUAACAUCGAUAUGACUGUAGGAAAAUAAAUUAACACACAUAGAUAUGACCACGGACAAAGCAAACUUUGGUACAUAAUUUAUCGUAACAUCUUAAUGCUUGUUGCUCUCAAGUGUGAACAAAAGAAAACAUAUGAUCCCUAAAACAUUGUUAACCAUUACUCCACUUCAAGUUCCAGGAUAAGGUUGCUUCUUGCCGAUGACUCCUUGGCCUCUCCUCCAAUUGACAGGAUGCUGAAGCUACACCAUCGCUGAUGGCCCCUUGGCUUCUCUUAUCCGAUUGGCAGGCUGUUGCAGCUACCAACCAAAUACAUCCACACGGGUUUGUAACUUUGUAUGCAGCUCCCACAAGGACCUAGGCACACACAAAUGGCCAGCAUAGUUAGUAUCAAUUAACAGGGGCCAAAAUAAACAGACAUGCCACACACAAAAAGAAUCAAACGAAAUAAGCAGACAUGCCACACACAAAAAGAAUCAAACGACAGUUUAUCACUGGAACAGAGACAUAGAAGAGAGCUGAAAAUACCCCAUGGUUUUGUUGAUGGAGGAUGAUAACAGCAAUCUGGACGCUGCCUGGAUCUCUAGAUGGAGAAUAGCGACAAAAAACACAUGUGAGCAACCAAAAGAAAGAGAACAUGGUAACUAAAAUCAAAAUAAGGGUGCAAACACAAAAACAAUUCAAAUAAAGUAGCAUGGAUCCUAUCUCAGAUAUUUCCCAAGGCAAUCCAUAUUUCAGUAUCCCAAAGAGAAAGAUUAGAAAUGUGUCAUCACAAGUAAAAUCACAAGAAAAUUGCUCAGUGGAUGCAUGGCAGCAUACUACCAGCAAACGUACCCAACAACCUGAGAUUAAUACUCGCAAUUCGAGAGCUUCCAUGAAAGUUGUGAAUUUAUACAAACAGAAAGGUAUAUAGGACUUGAUACUAACUUAGAAUUACAAGAUUCAACCAAUUUUGUAAAGGAAAUGGUAAAGAACCAUGACCUAUCAUCACCUGAGAGUUCUUCCCGUGAGUAGAACAAUGUUCAUGCUUAGCAUGCUUAUUUCAGAAAGCUAUCUUCGCUAGUAGUUGGUAGUAAGUUAAGAACCAAUAGACUGCAUUAAAGAUACUUAAAAAAGGGCACGUGUUAGGUGUUUUGAAUCUUGGAUAAAAAGGGUUGUACGAACAAUAAUAAUGGAGAUAAUCAUCUUUCAUAUACCGGUAGAUUUAGAACACAUACAGUAUAGUGGGAUAGAAAUAUUGAGAGAAACAACAGCAGCAAAUGCAAACUACAUCUAUGACCAUGAGCCAUAGUAGGGAAACCCAUCAGGAAAAUAUAUUAAUGCAGACAUGUAGUUAAUUAACUUAUUUGUAAGGGCCUAUCCUGCAAUUUAAAGGACAUGUAAUGAAGAGAACAUAUGCUGAAAGACUAACCUCAACCAUCGUCAUGGGCUGCGGAAAUAGCUAUUAUAAUCAGCCAAAGGAGCAAGGUGGAGCAAUCGAGCAAAAGGGAGUGAGGUCCACACAUUUGCAGAUGAACCAAUGACCAGAAACUGAAGAACGCAAUAGCAGCAGCACAAAUCUUCUUCAUAAUAAGAAAAGCAAUCUUAAAUCAGACAAGGAUACUGAUAUGCAAAUUUGAGGUAGAAAAAUGUUCAUUUUCCCAGGUAAAAACUCGCAAUUGGUCUGUAAAUACACUGACUAAAUAGAUCUGUAGAUUAAACAUGAGAUCCUACUAACAAACACGAAAUGACAUUCUCUUCUAGGUUCAAAUCAGCAAGGAAGUAGUAACCACCUUAAUUAGAAGGGUCUCCUCAGCCUGAAGCCAUACAAGUAAGGUGGCCCCUGACAAGGAGGAUCUCAUGCUCCAUGGGUCAGUCUGGUAUCCUCCAUUUUUGCAAAACUACUCUGGGCCCUGGGUCUCUUUUGAAAUCUACCACAACAUAUAAUUUCAUGUGCUUGUCCCUGUUCAGUUUCUACACAACAUUACAACAAUUUGUAACGCAGUUUAUAAUUUCUCCACAACAUACAUUUUGUAUAGUAUAGGAAAGUCUACAAAGAAAAAUCACAAUAGCCAAGUGUUCCAGCUCGAAAAGGAGAUAAAAUAAGUCAUGCUAUUCUUGCUGCAAAAACUAUGGCUAGAUAAGUUUUAAAGUUCAAAUUUUAGUUUGUAGAGACAACUUAAGAGGCAAGUUAUUAGCUAUUAUGCAUCAGAACGGAAUCUUGACUAAAUAAUAACUUACAUAAGCUUGACUAAAUAAUAACUUACAUAAGCACUGGACCUGUGAACACUCGCUCUCUGGGACAAAUGCAGGCCAAACUAAACUGAAUAUUCUACAUCAGAACAGAAUCUUGACGACAUAGGUAUGAAAUGGCCAAAAAGUGAACACAAAUAAUGUUUGUAUCUUAGUAUUACUACAAAGGAAAAUGGAGGUACUGAUCAUGUGCAUGCAAACAUACAGUGAGUGUUUUAUUUACAUUCAC